rnacentral:lncRNA from 1 species
CUCAUAUUUUCCCCAAGCUUCUUCCUGCUGUGAGCAAACUUUUUGACACCCUCAGUCUCAAGCAGCCUGAGAUUUUUCCUGGGUUUAAAUCUCAGAGACCUCAUCAGGUCAUUAACGUGACAGGGAGCAAUUGCUGUCUGGGGCGAAGGCCGAAGCAACGUACUAUCAGAACAGAAUCGGUCAUAAGCACUGUGGGAAAAU